CAGACAGAUUGAAUCGCCAUGGGAGGGAAUUGUCAACUUUCAACAGUGAAUGCCAAAUAUGGCAUUCAAACAUGCUUGAGGUGAUAGCUCUAAAAUGGAUGCCAAUUGCCCUAAUCGCCAUCGUUGCUGCAACUCUCGUUUGGGCAAGCAUAGUGAUUGACGAGCAUUACAUUAAUUAAAACCAAAUUGCUUCACAUUUCAUUGGCAUCACAAAACACAAGAAAUAGCGAGGAUCCAAACACAGAUCAUCUGAAUGGAACUGAGAGGGAGAAACUUUCAAAACCGGUCUACAAUUUAUAUUCAGGUUUAAACCACAAAGAGAAGGCAUUCUUUCCCUGUAAAUUUAUAGAUUUUGCGUUCAGGCUUCUCUCUUUUGCCUGUCAAAAGGACUGAACCAAAAUGGAGAUUAUUCUUUU